rnacentral:rRNA from 1 species
CCUACGGGGGGCAGCAGUGAGGAAUAUUGGUCAAUGGCCGAGAGGCUGAACCAGCCAAGUCGCGUGAAGGACGACGGCCCUACGGGUUGUAAACCUCUUUUGUCGGGGAGCAAAGCGAGUCACGUGUGACUCAUUGAGAGUACCCGAAGAAAAAGCAUCGGCUAAUUCCGUGCCAGCAGCCGCGGUAAUCCGGAGGAUGCGCGCGUUAUCCGGAUUUAUUGGGUUUAAAGGGUGCUCAGGCGGAGGUGAAAGCAAGUGGUAAAAUUGAGAGGCUCAACCUCUUCGAGCCGUUGAAACUGGUGUUCUUGAGUGAGCGAGAAGUAGGCGGAAUGCGUGGUGUAGCGGUGAAAUGCAUAGAUAUCACGCAGAACUCCGAUUGCGAAGGCAGCAUACCGGCGCUCAACUGACGCUCAUGCACGAAAGUGUGGGUAUCGAACAGGAUUAGAUACCCGAGUAGUC